rnacentral:rRNA from 1 species
CUAAUACCGCAUAACGUCGCAAGACCAAAGAGGGGGACCUUCGGGCCUCUUGCCAUCGGAUGUGCCCAGAUGGGAUUAGCUAGUAGGUGGGGUAAAGGCUCACCUAGGCGACGAUCCCUAGCUGGUCUGAGAGGAUGACCAGCCACACUGGAACUGAGACACGGUCCAGACUCCUACGGGAGGCAGCAGUGGGGAAUAUUGCACAAUGGGCGCAAGCCUGAUGCAGCCAUGCCGCGUGUAUGAAGAAGGCCUUCGGGUUGUAAAGUACUUUCAGCGGGGAGGAAGGGAGUAAAGUUAAUACCUUUGCUCAUUGACGUUACCCGCAGAAGAAGCACCGGCUAACUCCGUGCCAGCAGCCGCGGUAAUACGGAGGGUGCAAGCGUUAAUCGGAAUUACUGGGCGUAAAGCGCACGCAGGCGGUUUGUUAAGUCAGAUGUGAA